rnacentral:lncRNA from 1 species
AGUCAGACCUCCGUGAUUUAUGGCAAGUAAGAAUAUAUUCCACAUAUAUACUGCUUUACAGUUUAUAAAGUGCAUGUUUUUGCACUCUACUCACAUCUUUUAAGGUGUUAUGGGGUCCAUAAAAAUGUAUAAGAACUGAUAUCUGCUUUUGGGGAGCGUCUAGUGUUUGGGAGACUAAAACAUGAGCUGCAGAUGAUAAUGUUCAAUGAAGUUGUUUAUUGGGUGUCAUGGGUUGAAAGUACAGUGAUAUUUCAGAGAGAAAAUC